ACAUCUUUAUCCCACCAGAAGGCUGGCAGGUGCUCAACAGCUAUUCCUAAAAGGAUGAGUAACGUGCAGGGAAUGAGCCCAGCCCGUGGCCACCAGUGUCUCACGUGUUCCUCUCCACUGAAGGAAAAGCAUGACCUCAUCUCCCGCAGCGGGAACAGUGAAGCAGGAGACAAUACGCUCUUCAGAGCAGAAUUCCAGGUAGGAAAUUCUGACCGCGGGAGGCCUGGGAGCUGUGAGGUUGGUGCCCCUGCUGUGGCCCUCGCCCCUGGGCUGGUUUCCUGUUUGGCUGCCACUUGGGGGCACUGGACCUCCCUGAGGAGCACAAGAAAUUAACUGCUGAGAAGAGCAGCUCCCUUUCUUAGCCCCUGGAGUCCUACUCACUGAAGGGAAGAGGCUGCUUUUCCUGCACCAGCUCGCACAGCCUCCCUCCACCAGGGGAGAAGACUGAGCACAGCCAUCACAGAUGCUCUCCCCGUGCAGACCUGCUCAGCUUCCCCUCGGCUAGGCAUCCUCAGCAGCCUCACAGGCCAGAGACAGCAGCCCAGCAAGCCCCAUCGCUCUGACAGGGUCUUCACUCUGAAACGCAAGCUGGCUUUGAAUGCACUAUGUAGCCCCGUUUGGCCUCAAACUCAUGAUGAUCCCCCUGCCUCAGCCUCCUGAGUGCUGGGAUUACAGGAGUGUGCUACUGUGCCAGACCCAACAGAAAUUUAUUGACCCUAAUUUCUGAAGACUGGAAGUCCAGUUAAGAUGUCAGCAGAACUGUGCUCCCUCCUGGGAUCUAAGCGGGGUCCUCCUUUGCCUCUUCCAGCCAAAAGCUUGGACUUGAAUGUAUGUUGGAGACACAUGACCCAGCUCGCUGCCCUGUGACCCAUAGCCUGUAAGCAUCAUGAGAGUGGAGACUUGGCUCAUCUGACCCCACAGCCUAGAACAAUGGCUGGCACGUGUGUCCUCAGUGAGUACUUAGGUGACAGUAGGUUCAUGAGAUGAUACUUGGCCCAAGCCAAGUCAGCCAAGGACUGCUUCAAUAAGAAGGCAGCACGGGAACCCAGGACAUGGCCAUUCAGUACGGGACUGAAUAUCAGGUGGACCCACCCACGAAGAUCACCACUGCACCAACAGGCCUGAGGACAACAUGAAGAGUGGUCCAGCUUGUCUCAAAGGUUUACCAUUGAAACCACAGACCCUGUAGAACAGAGAUCCCUGCCAUUGACUGCUCAAAGGCAGGGAGCUUCUCUGCACUGAGUCAGAUUCUGUACCACAUAGACAGAGGAACUUUAGAAAGGUUCACCAGCCAUCCACCCCUGAGGUGGUGGCCACUGUGUUUGCUGCAAUCCUGGUCCAGAUUUUUAACUCACUGAGGGCAUGAUAACUUGGUAUACAGCCAAUUACAUGCUUUGGAGUUGCCAGGGGAGCUAAAAGGCCUUACUCUGACCUCCAGAAACCAAAACCCUGGAAUUCCUUUCCAGCUUUUCCCAGAAUCCUUGAGACUCUGAUUACAGAGAAUACUAAAGUUUCAGAACCAGAGCAAUGCAGUAUUUUAUAAUAGCAACCAAUAGAAUUUGUUCCCUCCUCAAUUCUGGGGAGCAGCAUCUCACACCAUGUACUGUCUGCUAUGGUCAUGGCCCCCCACUCGACAGCUGAUUGGUUGACCUGUUCCAAUAGCUUGCCUGUCUGCUCUCUCAUUCUGUCACCAGAUUUAAAGCUAGGUGGGAAUGGCACUACUUCAGCUCUCUAAACACUUGAAUGUUUCUCCUUUGUCAAGAAAAUAAACGUGAUCAAUCACCUACCCAA